rnacentral:rRNA from 1 species
UGGGGAAUAUUGGACAAUGGGCGCAAGCCUGAUCCAGCCAUGCCGCGUGAGUGAUGAAGGCCCUAGGGUUGUAAAGCUCUUUCACCGGUGAAGAUAAUGACGGUAACCGGAGAAGAAGCCCCGGCUAACUUCGUGCCAGCAGCCGCGGUAAUACGAAGGGGGCUAGCGUUGUUCGGAUUUACUGGGCGUAAAGCGCACGUAGGCGGACUAUUAAGUCAGGGGUGAAAUCCCGGGGCUCAACCCCGGAACUGCCUUUGAUACUGGUAGUCUUGAGUUCGAGAGAGGUGAGUGGAAUUCCGAGUGUAGAGGUGAAAUUCGUAGAUAUUCGGAGGAACACCAGUGGCGAAGGCGGCUCACUGGCUCGAUCCUGACGCUGAGGUGCGAAAGCGUGGGGAGCAAACAGG